rfam:Ovis aries breed Texel chromosome 18, whole genome shotgun sequence.
UCCCUAGUAGUUCAGAUGGUAAAGCAUCUGCCUGCAAUGCAGGAGACCUGGGUUCAAUCCUUGGGUUGGGAA